ACCCGCGACUUAGAUUCAUGAUCCAUCCGUCUCUCUCGUCCUCGUGCCAUGGUGAUCGUGCCUCAUGCCGCUUGUGCGUAUAUUUCAUAGCAAUAUUAAUUAUCUAGCAAGUAAAUGCGUAAGAUUUGUGCAGGAUUAUUUUGUAUCUACGUUUUAUUGAAUGUGGUUGAAGCAUAUUUUUAAUAAUAUAUAUACAUUUCUACAAAUUGCUACUAUAUUAUUAACCUCAAAAUAAUUGCAUGCACAUUAUGAUUCUUUAUUCUAAUUAUUAAUUAUUACAUUAAACCAUCAUAGAGAUAUAUCUCUAUGCAUUAAACACGUCAGAACAUAAUUAACAUUAAUUCCAUAAAACUUUUUGUUAAUAACCUUUUAAUAAAUAUUGACCGACGGCUAUAACCUUUUGAAUGUUAUAAAAUACUCAUGGACAUAAAAUCUUAAUUAGUAUUAUAUUAUAUAAAAGUCACUCGUAGUGGCUUUGUUUAAAUAAUAAUAUAUGCAAUUAUGACUUAUUGAAUUUCACAUUCCUUAAUGUUGAAAUAAGUAAUAAAGUAAUUUGUAAUUAACUAUUAUUAUUAAAAAUCUCAAAUUUUCUUUUAUAUUAUUCUGUAUAUCUGUACAUUUGUAUAUUUGUUCUGUGAUCAAUAUAAAAGUAUAAGGAUGGUGUAAAAUUAACAAUUGGCUACAAAUGUUUUAUGUCGUUCAUGUUGAUGAUUGGUUUCAAACGAUCCCAGAUAACUGGGUAAAUAAAAUUAAUAAAACUAUCCAUUGGCUUACUGAAAAGAAUGCCAUGCUUACAAUGUGGAUAAAAAAAAAGGUACCAUACAAAUCGGAUUGGAAGAUACACAAUUACGUUUGUUUGUUUGGACCAUUCGAAAGCUAUCAAGAUUCCAAAAAUUUCGAGCAGCAAUGUACAGGAUACUCUUCUCAGGACGAAAUAUUCUAGGAACAAUACACAAGUCAUAAUAAGUCGUCGCUGCCCCAAAAACGAAAGCGAAAAAAAAUCCAAAAUACGACGAAACUAGUAGUUGCAAUAGUAUUGAGGAAUCUUCAGAAUCCGAAGAUAAUAAUCCACCAAAGACUAAUAAACACACUAACAUAUCGAAAGACAUCGGUAUCUUGCACUAAGUCCAAAUUAGAUACAUUGCCAUUGACAUCGCAUUUUGUAUAUAUUGACGACUUUAUAGAUGAAAGAAAUGUUGCAUCAUUUGACAUGGAUGAUGAAAAUAAUAUAAACGGUGCUAGGGAGUAUGUAAGACGAAUAAUAAAGAGGCUAAUGACAGAUAAUUUAGCCCUGAAAUAUUCCUGGAGCGGACAAAAAAACACCAUUUGAUUCAAAGAUUUUCUUACUUCAAAACUUAUUCUGGAAUCUGUGGCGUCUGUGCAUACAUCAGCAAAUCUUAAAACGAUGGAAGAUGCAAUACAAUCGUGGUUAAACCAUGCAUCGGAUCGAAAAAAGAAAGCAGAGAAAAAAGAGGAUCAACAUGCACGACUUGUAAUAAGAAUGUAAACAAUUAAUAAGCCAUCUGCAACUGUAUUAGAAACUGUGAUUUAUUAAUUAAACUGUUAUUUAUUAAAAUUUAAAUAAAGUAUUAAAAUAUAUGUAUGUAUAUAAGUACAUAAAGAAUAAAACGUUUAA
rnacentral:lncRNA from 1 species